AGUUUCAAGGGACGGGUUGCGUCCGCGUGAAUGCUCCGGCAUCCACGUGGGGCGUGGGUCCUACGCAGCGGCCUGGAAACCCUAGGAUGCCGUGCCAUAAAGGAGCAGGUAGUGCGUCCCUCUUUAUAGGGGCGUGGCCCUGUAUUCACAGCCGGCAAACGCUGCUACUUCCUAUCAGACCGCAUGAACCCGUAAUGGGGGAUGGACUUAGGGGGGCACGCAUAUAGGUUAGGGUACUCUCCUGAUCCUUCGGGGUUGGGGGGCGUACCGGACAGUCGGCAACUGUGCAUGGCCCUCCGGGGCCGGCCUUUUGCCCAGCAAUGGACCUGACGAUACUGAAAGCGUGUUUGGGGCUGGUAUCCUGGAACCUUCACGUGGUGGCCCUGUUUAAACCAAUCUUACCAGGAUGUGCUUCCAGAAGGGUUACAUCUACAAACAAGGUACAAGGUAUAGAUGAGAAGCUUACUGGAGAGAAGUGGGAAAGUAGCGAUGAACCAACGACUUCAGGGAAACCCGAUCGUCCAAUCCAAGUUAUUUUGUUAUUGCAGUUUACCCCCCCCCCCCCCCCCCCACUGGAGAUGAGAGGCUGUAGAGGAAUUUGUUGUGGUGACAAUGGAUCAUUCUAAUCAAAGUCAGUAUGGGCUCUGAGAAACACGCAGGAGACAAGAUCUGCCGCAGUCAUUGUUAGCAAGAACUACCAGUUUAAUAAGGUGGACCACACAGACAGCCCGAUAGCCUUGCAGAGGAGAGCGUUUCUCACGAGUGGAUUUACAACUGACUGACCAAUCAACCUUCAUCGGAACUUUUUGAAGUAGUGGUGGUGGGAAAGCGGUGGUGGGAAAGCUAGGUUUUCAGGGAGGUUGCUGACAGCCAGGUGAUGACCAGCAUCUUUCACCAGUAGUCUCUUGGUCUUCCACUGCAUCUCCAAUUUCUUGCCACCACAGACGGAUGUUUCAGUGAAGUAGUUUUGCUCCAACCUCUCUGCCAUCUGCCAUGUGAUGGGCGCUAGAGCACAUCCCGUUGAGGAAGUCGGUAGCUAGGGGUGGAGGAGCAAAGUUCAAGUUAACAACGCUGAUGUUUAAUGGUAGCUACUAGAGAUCCUGGAUGCUGACUCUGCCUAGGUUUCCACAAUGCCUGGACCUAAAAGUGCUGAAAUGCCCUGAAACUGCCCAUCAAACAUCAGUCUUUGAUAAGACAGGACCUGAGUAACCUGAGUAAGACAUCAGACGCCUGUUAUCAGAACCACAAGAAGAGGAACGCAUGUGUUUCAGGUUUUCCUGCUCUUACCAAGAAGAUGUUGCUCUUGAUGCUGGAAUGCCCUGAAACUGCACCACUUUGUGAUGACAUCAAACAUCAGAGAAACUACAUCCAAGGUGCCUUGGGCCUAUUUAGAACGUACUAGGCUGUUAAAUGAGAAAAAAAGGUUAUAUGGGCAAUUCCAUGCUGGUGGAGACACAAGACCAAACAAUUAUUUUAUGGUUUGCUCAAGUUUGAUUUGCUGAAGUGACACAAUAUAUCUUGGCGUUUUUAAAACUGAAAUAGUUUCGUCCCAUGCGCGCACUAUUUUGUGAGUUACGGUACACCAUCACAUCAAAGUCUGCAAUGACGUCAUGAUAACUUAUGGAUGCACUGGUAAGGAAUUUUGAAUUAGUCUUUUGCUAUCUAUUGAGUAAUAUUUUCUCUCAAUUUUUUAUGUUAACCAUUUUUUAGGGUGUCUUUGUGAAAAUGGAUAUUAUUUCUAUUAGUUGUUGAUUUUAGUCAGAUUUUGCUUGUAAAAUGCGAUACAUAUUUAAUAAUUUAUAAGUCACUAAAACAUAUUUGUCUUAUUUGUAAAUACCUACAUUUUCUGACCAAUGAAUUAUUCCGUUAAAAGUUUUUAAGCUUGAGUUCUGAGAAGUACAUGUAUAUUUAAAAAAUAGAAUUUUGUUACAUUUUUGUUUUAUGCUUAGACCAGCCGUGAAAUAGUGUAAUGUCGGCCACAUGUAAUGCCAUGCAGUCACAAUCUCUUAGCGUAACGUAGUGUCAGUCACAUUUUUGCACAGUCCGUAGUUGAGGAAAAUGCAAGUACACAUGUUAUUGAAGUCCAUACACAUACAAGUAGUCAACUCUUUGAACCAAAAUGCAACUGAGUGCCAAGCCACUUUCUGAGCAACAUAUAUAUUUUCCACAAAACAAGUCUUUUUUAAAAUUUAUUUUGGACAUCUGUAACCCUUUGAUAAAAUGAAAAAUAUAUUUGUUUUGCUUUUGGGCACAAGUAGUCUAUCAUUGUCCAUUCUGAUGGGGUGGGGUGGGGCAAGUCUUCCCUGUGAGAACUGAAUUAUUGUUUGACACCAAAUAGUUUGAUUUUCAUAAUACCCUAUUUAUUACUUAACAUUGGCUAACUUAUUUCAUUUGUUUUGUUGUUGGUUCAUUGGAUAACUUUGGUAUUGCUAGAAAAACAGCAAAUAAAAUUGUAUCAAUGUAAACUUCAUACAACAUGAAUAAUUCUGUUUAGUAUUUCAUUUUUUUCAGGAAAGAUAAACACCCAAGUUGCAACUUACAGCAGCAGAGAGAAAGACACAGCAGAAACAAAACUUGGAAGAAAAGGAUUGUAUGAAGACCACAAGAGGAACAAAUGAAAGAGGAAUAGACAGAAAAGAACAGAACAUGAGGAGUUUCAUAAAGUGAGCAGGAAUAAAACUAUGAGAAAAGUAGUUAGAAUUGAGCAUGGAAUUUGUUAAACAUGUUGAGACCUCAAAAUUUUUAGUAACACAGAAAAUAUGAUGCAAGUCUAUUUACACAGUUUUUAUUGGAGACAACUUUAAUAUUAUUACGGUCGCUUUGCAAAAUUUCUUACUUAAUUAGCUUUAUGAUCAGUUACUUUUUGGUGUUGAUUGUAUAUACAUGUUUUUUAUUACAUUUUUGUUUUUCAUAAAUUCUAAAACUCUCCGAGUUUGGAUAUUGAAAAAUUAUUUUGUUCUUUCAUACAGUCACUGUUGGAAAUUAUAAAGAAAAUAAAACUUGACCUGAACAGAAACUAUUCAAUACACAGUGUCUCAUUUCUCAAUUAUUAUGAUUAUAAAAACUUUCAUUUUACAUCUUUGUACAUGUGUAAAGUGUUAUACUGGCUAUAAAUUAUAUGAAAGAUAAAAUAUGACAUCCAUUGGCCUUUAACAUAAGAGAAAUUUCAAAUUUGAUCUAUCAUUUGUUUCCUGUGUUGUUUUUUAUGUAAUGUCGGUCACAAUAAAGAAAGAGUUCUGUAAGCGAAGGACAGAAAAGAUCAAUGCGUCUACAGGUUGGAAAAUGUAAAGACACUUCAUCCCCCCAAAAAUGAUGCGUAUUGGAAUUAUAUGAUGCGGCUGAUUAGUG
rnacentral:lncRNA from 1 species